AUCUUAAACCCAAAAAAAAUAACAUCUUCACAAAAGAAAAGAGAUACAAAGAAAACAAUGUCAGCACAGAAGAUUCAACUUGCUUCUUUAAUCCUAGCUUUUUUUCUUCUAUUUUCUCAGUCAACUGCUACAUGUCACUAUAGAUUCCCACCCUCAGGCCGCCCUUGUACGAAAAAUGCCGACUGCAAGAACGUGUGCACACAGCCUGAAGAAGAUCGAACUUUUCUAUUGUGCCUUACGGGUAUCCCACUGUUAGGCAGAUGUUGUUGUUUAGCACCAUAGUCUUGUUCAACAUAAUACAUCGUUAUAUUUCUCAUUACCUAUCAUAAGAUUUAAAAUCAAUAAAAAAAUUAUGUUUGCAUAAGGCAUCUACAAUGCGUCAGUCAGGUCAGCUUCUGAAAUUAGGUUGUUUAUCUGAUGUUCAUGUCAAGAACUUGUGGAGCUUCUAAAAAAAUAUUCACACCUAGUCUUUAUCAAUGUGGAACUAUUUUUCGUAUGUAGUAGUAGCAGUAAUAAACGUACAGAAUACCUCUUCGGAAUUGCUCUGAAACCAAAAUUGUAAUUGCAUAAUCACCAGCACUUGUGAUGUGUCAAUUGCUCUAGUGAAUCAGGGUUAACUUUUAAACUCCUCUGCUACAUUAACAAUUAAAGGUAACUUGUACAUGAGAAUAUAUACCGACGAGAUAUAACUAAGAGAACUUGUACAAAUGUUCAAAGGUAACUUAUAUAAAUGUUCGAAUAUAUACCGAUUGUUCAUGUGACUUAGCCCAUCAUUUCAAGCGUUUUUUUUUUUUUGUCUUUUGUCCCUCUGUAACCAUUUCACUUUGUUUUUUUACUUGUAACAACUGCUUGUCCUAACAUUACACAGCCUCUUUGUAAUGUCGAACCUGAAGCAAUUAUUGAAAUAUGCUUCUCUAGUUCUUCAAAUAGCUUGAUAUCAUAUGAUCUCUCUAGUACAUGAGAGCUAAAACAACCAAAGGUUUUGACAGUUUCAGUAGCACACACUCUUCCAGAGAAGAGUAAUCUCUUGUGGAGUGAGUGACAGCAAUUCUCCUGCUUUUUAACACUCUACAGAACCACAAGACUCUCCUUUUUCAGAAUGCUUCAGUCAGACCAUUGGAAUCUGAGAGAUCAAAGAGACAAGUCAACCAUUAAAACAGAACCAUCCUGUUCCAGAUUGUGAUUGCAAACGAUCCUCUGAUUCAUUUUUCUGCAUCAGUUCUGUCUCUAUUCUUACAUAAUAACCCUUCUGCUUGAACAGUUUGUCACUCCUGCUUCUGCAUCUUGGUUCAUAAUGUGAUAGACUUGCUGAACCAAUUCUGUCUCAUGAAAACAGAUCAUUCUCUUCAGCUAAAAUGAGUUUUUUUUUUUAUUUCUUGGCUCAACUCUGUUUUUAAGCUUUGUAUCUCCAAUAUUUUUGACCAUUACAUCAUACAGUUCCUAUGAAGAAAGUUUCCUUCUGAAUUCACUACUAAGUCAUCCUACUUUUCCAUAUGUACUCUUGUCGCAAUGUAUUUGGCUAAAUAGAUUCCGUUGGCAAGCAAUAAGCCCUAGCCGCCUACCAGAUUCUGCACCUUUGAUGGUAUCGUCUUAUUACUGCCAAUGCAAUAAGGAACAGUGAGGUUCAUAUCCACCCUUCCGAUGUACAAGUUUGUUUGGUGCAACAGAUUAAUUUGGACAAGGAUCGUGAAUUGACCAAAACUUGUAAUUAAUGUUAUGCUUGUUUACUAAGUAAUGAAUAGAAUGGUUUAAUUUUGGUAUUAUAUCCCAUAAAAUCAUCUCCUACCGAUUAUUAGUUUGAUUUUUCUUUGUUUGACCAGAACUCUUAAGUUUAGAAUUUGUUUUUGCUGAGAAUUUAAUUAAUGCAAUUCAAUUGGAUUCUGAAGAUAUAUGUCAAUAUACUAUUUCUUUGUUAAUAAAUUAUAUUAGGAAUGGAUAUUCAAUUCUACUCUGCAGAGAAUAUUAUAUAAUUAAUGCAAGAUCUACACAUAAUUAAUGUUGUAGAACACUGGAUUCUGAAACAAUAUAUCUUUGUUAACAAACUAAUUAGUAACGUAUAUACAAAUAUAAGCAAAUAUUUAAAGGGGGAUGGUCAUUUGAUCUUAAACCCAAAAAAAACAUCUUCACAAAAGAAAAGAGAUACAAAGAAAGCAAUGUCAGCACAGAAGAUUCAACUUGCUUCUUUGAUCCUAACUUUUUUUCUUCUGUUUUCUCAAACAACUAGUAGAUGUAACUAUAGAAGGCCACACUCAGGCCCUUGUAAGAAGGGUGACGACUGCAAGAACGUGUGCAUACUGCCUUCAGAAGAUCCAACUUUUCUAGCAUGUCUUACUGGUCCCCCAUUGUUUGGCAUAUGUUGUUGUUUAGUAAAACAAAAAUAGUCUUGUCAUUACCUAUCAUAAGAUUUAAUAUCAAUAAAAGUUGUGUUUGCAUCGUUUUUAAAUUUUUCUCUAGAGGGUUAGUUACCAACUAAUUAUCACCAUAGUGUCUGAAUAUGAUUGCUUUCUCUCCUGAUCUUGAGAUCAGGUCAAGAGAAGGUUGUUACACACUUCAAGAAGAGUUUAAAAUACACGUUUGCUCAUAAACAACUUAGCAGACCAAUCUACCUUAUUGCAUGAGUUCUUCAUUUAUCAAAGUUUUUUGUACUUUUCUCCUUAGGUUUAACAGCUUAGCAGACCAAUCUACCUUAUUGCAUGAUUUCUAUAUAUCACAGAGUUAUGAAAAAAACAAAAAUGUUGUCUCUCUAUUAAAGUUUUUUUUUGUGAAAAUACUUCUAUCUUGUGCAGCAGUGAAUACUGAGAUCAGACUCUGCCUUGGAGUUUAUCGUUAUUAACAAGAGGAAGCAACUCCAUCUUGUUUCUUGGUGUACAUUCAUUUCUAGGAGCAUAAUACUCUGAAAUCCUGGUGUAAUCACAAAGAUUGACUUUGUCAUGUUUGUUUUGUUUUUAGUGUUUAUAGAAAAAGAUGAUGUCAGGGGCAACUGAUGAAACAAAGACAAGCUGAAAAUAAAACUGAAGAUGUCACUAAACCAUGCAGUUAUUUGCAUUUCAGUCACAAGAUUCAUACUCACAUUUUUCAUUGGUUUUCUUUCAAGCUCCUUCUAACUUGCUCAUUCCUUUUGUGUCGAUCUCAUAGGUGCUUGAUGAGUUUAGUGUUUGUGUUGCAUUUCAGGUUUGUUUGACCUUUUUUGUUUGUUAAUGUCAUCUUUACAAGUCAUUUUCAAGUGUCAACAAUGUUUACCAUAAAUCUGAUUUUGAACGGCUUUCACAGCUGCAACUCUAGCAGCUGUCGAGAGCUUUGUUAGCCGCAGCUACAGCCCGUACCACCUGCUCAUCGACCCCUCAGACAUUAUCAAACAAAAAAUCUUCCGAUGAAUGUAACGAAAAAAAUGCUCUUUUUAUUACCGGAAGUGGUAAGAACCAAGUCCAUGUUUGAGACCAAACUUGAAUUUUCUGACAUAAGAGCUUCCGUCAGCGCAUGUCUGAACACCAAAGCCAUGGCUUUGACCGUUAAACCAUUCACCGGAGUAAGAAUCUCCGGUGUAGAACCAGUAAACUCAGUAACCAUGUCUAAGUCCUUGCUUGUACUGUCCUUUAUACUUACUUCCUUUAGACCAAGACUCGAUUCCAUAGCCGUCGUAUCUUCGAUUGAUCCAAUUUCAUUCGUAUCUUAAUAAUAGUAAAAAAAAAAUAGUUACGUAAAUAGUCCAACCUUAAUUCAUUUAAUUUAAAUCAUUUACUACUUGAUGACUUAAAAGUUAAAACAUUAAUUUCGGUAAAUAAUGGCAUUACGAACUACUUAUAAGUUAUAACUUGUACCAGUUCUUAAUGACUUCAAAAGGAAGAAAACUACCUUAAGCUAAUGACAUGGGUUAAGUAAACAAUGGAAAGAUACUCCGACCCAAAAAUACAACAAUUACAGUCUUUCAGAGAAUAUCCAACCUUAAUUUAUUUAAUUUAAAUCAUUUACUACUUACCAAGAUCCUAAUUAAACUAAACAAACAAAAUACAUAAUACUAACUCAUAUAAGAAAGUGAACUUACUUUAUUAGCUUGCUUUGAAAACAAAGUCUCAUUUCAAAUAGAACCGAAGAAGAACAACAACAAUAGCAUAACAAUAAGGUCUUUUACAAAUGAUUCAAAGCUUCAGACCACUCUCUUAAGCUUCAGCUUCAUCCUCUCAAUUGCACUACGCAGAGUCUCCUCAUCUUUACAGAACGCAAACCUCACCAAGUUCUUCCCAUCUUCCGGAUUCAAAUAAAACACACUCGUAGGGAUCGCAACCACCCCAACUUCCUUGAUAAGAUACUCACAGAAGGCCACAUCAUCCCCAAACCCAAACGGCGUGUGAU